GCUUAGGCGGUGGAGGGGACGCGGAGCGCAGGUGAGCGCACGUUGGGGGGAGCUGUGCGCAUGCGCGGCGCCCGGCGGGGUUCAGUCAGCUGAGCUGGGCGAGUUGCGGCUUCGCUCCGGUCCACGCCUCCUUCCCUCGGGUACCUCCGUGGCUCUGCUGAAGACGGGAGGGAUGGAGGUAACGCUUCGCCGAGAGGCUGGAAGGGGCCGGGCGGGCCGCUGAGGGCCGCCCCUCAGGUAAAGCUUCAUGGAGAGAAAACCCACCGGACCGAGGAUCCUGUCAUUCUGUUAGACCAAAGCCCGGUUUCCUCUUGAUCCACACCUUCUCUUGCUUUAAAACGUUAAUAACCACUUAAUUCUGGCCUGUGGUUUCUUGAUUGCACCCACCUGCAGGGCCUGUGUGAUGUGUGAGGGAGAGAUGUGACGAGAAAUGGAUUUUGCUGGUGGAAUCGGCAGCUUGGGACAGGAAGAAGAAGGCUCUGAAGACUUUUUUCUUGUCAGAUGGAUGAACAAGAAAGCAGUGGGUUGUAGAGAUGCUAUUUCAAAUGUGAAAUUCUGUCAGAGGGAUACCUGUGUCCAAAGGAGUGCAGGUGAGGAGUGAAGCCACCAUUUCCAUUUCUGUAUAAAGGCACAGCCACUGCUAAUGUCUGAUUGUGGGACAAGAGCAGGCAAGUGCCUUGAUAAGUUUUUUCUCCAAUGUGUGGGGAGAACACCUAGUCUCUCAAUUUGUUUUGCUGUACCCACCUUCCUUGAUGCUGUGUCUGUGGUUUUCUAGCCUGGCUUCUUUACUCUGAACCUAUGGCAUGAAGUCCCCUUACCUUAAAAUAGGUACUGGAAGAUUGCAGAGGCUUUCCUGUAAAAGAUGCUUUUCUACUUCAGUUUCACACAGUGAUUUUGCUCUCCCCAAAAACAAGUUGUACAGAGGUUAAAAGGAAAUGUUAAGUCCCUCUUUCUCAGCAGACACCUAGGACUCUGCAGAGGAAGGACUUAAAAAGAUAAGGGACUGAGUGCAAGUAUUCUUGGACUGUCAGAUUUCCAGCAUGACAACAAAGCACUUGUCCUUAUCUCUCUGCUUUGUCACUUCUGCAUCUGUGUUGGGGAAGAGGCUGCUGCAGAGGAGACUGACUCUUCUAAGCCUUGCUGUGUGAUUUGGCUCCUGAAUGCCCAGGGCUCCCUGCAGUUGCACACUUUCUUCCCUGGCUGUUUUAUUAAUGGAAGUUGACAUCCUCAUGCUGGCUCCCAGGGAGGGAUCUGUCUGAGUCAUUGGCUGUAACACAGCCCUUUUCCCACAAAGGGCUCCCUUCAGCUAUUUACAUCCCUCUCUUUGAUCUAUCUUUUGACAUGAAAAGACAUGUCAGCCAGGUAAAGGGAAACAAACAAAAUGCAGGAACAGUCCCACAUCUCUGCUUGCACAUGAUCUGCUCCCUAGCACACGCCUGCCUUACAGCCACAGAUCCUUAUCAGCCCUCUGAUUUCCUUGCUAUCAUCUCUGUCUUCCCUUCAUGCUGUUGUUUAACUUCUAGAGGCAUAUAUGUGCAUCUUGUUCACUGCUCAGUAAGAUGCUGUGGCACGUUUGCCUACUUUCUCUGGUAUUUCCCUUCUAUCUAUAGUACAGCUAGUAUGGGAAAUGCCCUCACACAUCCUCCUCACUUCAUGCAGUGCCAGGAACAGGUGAUAGAGAUCUUCAUUUCCUGCCUUCAACUGCUGCAGUGUUUCAGCAAGCAGCUGUUUGCAGCUCGCUCCAGAAGUAGCAGCAGUGCAACUAUAGGUGAAUUCCUUUGUGGAAACCAGAUCCUUCAUUGCUAAGUAGCUUAGGAUCUUUCAGAGUUAAAAAGACUAAAUAUUAUGCAAAUUCAAAUUAGAUGCACCAGAACACAGUAUCACACACCUGUGUUUUUUUCCUAUAGGAAUGGGUGUUCUAGAAUUGCUGAGAAAGCAAAUCUAAUGGAUAAGAAUGUUGUUGAGAUGCAGCUCUUUGGAGAUGACUGCUGGUGCCAGGUGCAGAAUAGUGUGGGAAGGGGAAAAAUCAAACAGAGCUUAGUUCCUGCCUUUAUCAGCAAUUAAUUUUCUUGUGGCAUUGGCCGGCUUGUUGGGUUUGCACAGCUUGGUGCUCUUGGGCAAUCUCUGAGCUGAUUGGUCUGGUUAUUUUAUGUCUUCCAGGUAGUAAACCAGUGCUGGAGUGCUUUGGUAAAGGAGGUGUCUGUCCGGUCCAGGGCCUGCAGUCCCAUUUAAGCUGUGCUGCUAUGGGAUGUGGCUCCGUCGGUGAGGGUUCUCUAUUCUACCCAAGCAGCAAUAGCUCCCUGCAUCACCUGGACUUGUGCUAUGAUAAUUUCUUGGGAAACUCUCAGCAGCCAGUGAAACAGCCCUCCCAGUGUUCUUUCUUCCUACAGCCAGCAGGGAGGUGGGCUGCCUUCCUUUUGUCCUACUCACUGUUCCCACAGGUGAAUCUUCAUGGCUUGUGCUGUUUCUGGGCUGGCACCAAACAUAGCAAGGUGCUGUUUGACUGAAGCCUUCACGUCAUAACAGUUCUGCUUUGGGAAAAGCCUGAACUCAGCGUUGAGGG